rnacentral:rRNA from 1 species
AUGUAAGGAUCGGCUGGCUCAUCCUCAUCAUCCGAAAAGAAAACAAAGAAAAAACAGAUUUGUUUCAAUGACAUAUCUAAUCAGACUGAAAUUGAUGUCGAAGACACGAUCAUUCACAUCAAUUGAAGCAGGCAGGAAGGGCGCAUAAGCUACCAUUUAACGAAUGCAAGCAAGGUAGCUUGCUUACUCUCCAUCUAG